rnacentral:lncRNA from 1 species
AAAUUUUUUUCUUGACGAAGAAUUGAAGCUCCCUCUGUUAUUAUUCGCAAUGCAACGCUUUCUUCCAGUCUCCCUUCUUUCAUAAGGUGUGCCUUUAAGAUAUCCACACGUGGCUUGCCAUCAUUAUCAAACACUUCCUUAGCUGUGAGCCGGUGACUUGGAGGAAAUGGGACAGCUUUCACCACCCUGUCCGUCGUCGACAACUUGGGCUCGCUGGCCUUGUGCUCCGACAUGUCCGGCGGCGCGGCGCUCCCUCGCGCACAGCGGGCACGGGCUGAGGCGGCCGCCGCUGCGGGCAGCGCUCCGGCUGCUGCGCCGGGGCCGAAGUUGCCGCGUCCCGCCGCUCCGCCGGGCUCGGCUCUGCGCGCGGUGCCUUCCUCCUUCGUCUUCCUCCACCCCCGUCCUCCUCCUCCGCCUCCUCUUCCUCCUCC